rnacentral:rRNA from 1 species
UACGUAGGAUGCAAGCGUUGUCCGGAAUUACUGGGCGUAAAGGGCGCGUAGGCGGCGUGUCAAGUCAGGCGUGAAAGCCCCGGGCUCAACCUGGGAACCGCGCUUGAGACUGGCAUGCUCGAGUUCGGGAGAGGAUGGUGGAAUUCCCAGUGUAGAGGUGAAAUUCGUAGAUAUUGGGAAGAACACCGAUGGCGAAGGCAGCCAUCUGGACCGACACUGACGCUGAGGCGCGAAAGCGUGGGGAGCAAACAGG